GGACAGCCCCGUGGUACAGAAGACCGCCCCACACCCUCUCAUAAACUUUAUUACUCCCUACCCAUUGGUCCCUCUCGCCCUCUUCCCUCUGUUCCCUAUAUCUCCAGGGAAAUGCACCUAGCUUUCAGUCUGGCUCCGCUUGAUGGAAAACUCAGAGCUCGAGGAGGCGACCCUGACUCGACCCGGCAGAAAAGAGGAGACGGAAAACUCCCUCCCUAGAAUCUGGAAUGAACUCCUUGUGUCUGCGGUUCUUCCAGCCUCUCUGGCUUUGGCAGGACACUAGAUUCUGGCUUACCCUUCCCCGGCUCUCGGCUCUCGUCCCUGGCCAGCCACUGUGACCACUGCUUUGCCAGACCACCAGUGUGUCAGAUUCGUUUCCGUUCCGGAAGAUUGGUAUUUGUAUGGUUAUUGUUUUGAAAAAAAGAAAACGAAUUAAAUUAAGGGGAACCAAGGAGAGGGAUAUUUGUAGCUGAGGCCAUUGCUUCAGUGUGGAGCCCUGGUUGUGCCCUUCAGAGCCUCGGGCCGAGAGGGAGUGUGGGGGCUGUGGGGCCCCCGGGAAUUAGCGCGUGGAGUGAACGUCGGGGCAAGAGUUGGGGUGGAUUAGCGGGUUCAAAAGCAGGUCAGGGGGAGCUAAGCGUGGCGACCAAGUCCGUGCUAGGUCAAGGUCCCUGGCAAAGGCUGGCUCGAGCGAUCUGCAGGAAGCCGUACCAGUCUGCAGCUGCCCAGCCAGGGACCAGAGAAAUGCAACAGGAACCCAUGCUUGUCUGCAAUAAUUUACAGGACCCCGUUCGAGCUCCCUGGUUGAGGUGUGCUCACCUUGAAAGACAGGGUUUCUCUUUUACAUUUUAACCUUUUCUUUCUUUUCUUCUUUAUGUUUGAGACAGGACCUCACUCCGUAGCCCAGGUUGGCCUCCAGCUCAGGGCCAUCCUCCUGUGGAACCCCUGAGAUCACAGGCGUGUCUCACCAAGUCCCACCUCUUUGUUUUUAUACUCCCUCCUUUCUGACCAGAUAAAUACAUCGACCCACGCAGGUAGAAUUUUCUUCUCAAGAGUCUCUUUCUCCUCCUGACAUCGGGGGCCAUGUGAGUCAAAUGGGGGUUGGGGAUUUCUGAGACACAAUAAAAGAAUCGCAUCCUCCUCUUCCCGCUCGAGUACCUGCGAUAGGGAGGGAGAGCUGGGAGUAGCUGAGUCGCUCUUUCCUUUGCGAAAGGGAGAGAGGUGACUCUGAGCCCCGAACGUUUGUAGGGCCCUGGAUAGUCUUCCCUUUUCUCCAAAAGACUCGUGAGUUUUAACAGGGAACAAACUUGGAGACGCGGUGGAUUUCGAAAUCCCGGUCUUGUUGGUGGCCUAAGAACAAUUUACAAAGCAGCCGGGGUGGGGAUGAAUCCUCGAGGUCUACCGAGGGUGGUGGCCCCUCCCGAGUCGCUUGGGACCUGGCGUGGGGCUUCUUUUCCUCCCGCGCUGUGCAGGCCCAGGGAGUGGGGUACGCGGAUGGACUUGGUUUUGUUGAAAUCCGGUGAAUCUGGACUCGGGUCGGGCUAGCUUCACGGAGUAAGCCUAUCCGAUCCCUGCAGGGGAGAAGUUUCCUACUUCCAGCUCUGGGGAAAGUACGGAAGGUGGCAAGGAGCUGUGGAAAGCGGAGGUGGCUUGGGAGAGGCCUGGGCUGUGGAGUCCCCGGGCGGCUCCCGCGACUUCUCUGGAAUGCUUCCGAGCUGCAGGCCCUGGAUGCUGGCGUGCAGGGUGUAGAGCGGCAGACCCGGAUGGACCGGCUGGUGCGGUGCUCGGGUCCGAGUGGAGUAGGUAGAAGCUUGGCUUCGAGACACAAUGCAAAUAAGCUGCUCGGUUCCCAGUCCCACGGAGCCUGACAUCUUUCCACUGGAAAAACGCCCGGAGCUGAAGGCACUGUCUCUCCUUCUUUAGGCGGGCGUUCUCGCUUCGCGGCUUGCAACCGGCCUCACAGUUCAGGCUUCAGCGGCAGAAAUAAUGGGACUGACGGCAAGAAAGUAUCCCAACGCUUUCCCGCUCUUCUGGAGCUGCCUCCACCCCAUCCCCACCGCCGCAUCCUUCUUUUUGAAUAAAUUUACCUUGAAAGUACAGUUUUGUAUGUAGCCUUUUCUGUUCUCUCUCUCUCUCUCUCUCUCUCUCUCUCUCUCUCUCUCUCUCUCUCUCUCUCUCUUUCUCUCUCCCUCCCUCCCUCCCUCCCUCCCUCCCUCCCUCCCUCCCCCCUCCCUCCCUCCCUCCCUCCCUCCCUCCCUCCCUCCCUCUCUCUCUCUCUCUCUCUCUCUCUCUCUCUCUUUCUUUCUUUCUUUCUUUCUUUCUUUCUUUCUUUUUUUGACAGGGUUUCUCUGUAUAGCCCUGGCUGUCCUGGAACUCACUCUGUAGACCAGGCUGGCCUCAGAAGUUCGCCUGCCUCUGCCUCCCAAGUGCUGCGAUUAAAGGCCUGUGCCACCACUGCUCUCUUUCUUUCUUUUAAUACAAACUAGUGUACUAGUUUUUUUAAGGAUUCGUUCUCUCUCUCUCUCUCUCUCUCUCUCUCUCUCUCUCUUUCUCUCUCUCUGUGUGUGUGUGUGGUGGGCGACAGAAGAGGGUGUCGGAUCCCCUAUAGCUGAAACCAGAGUAGAUCUCUUAACCUCUGAGCCAUCCCUCUAGUGCCCUUAACUAGAAUUUUAAAAUUUACAUCUGUUUAUUAUGUGUGUACAUUUAUGCGCAUCCGCAAGCCAGGAGUCAGAGGACAACUUUUGGGAAUGGGCUCUGUUCAACCCAGUAGGUUCUGGGAAUGGAUCAAAUCAUUAGCUUGGUGCUAGGCGUCUUUACCCGCGGAGUCAUUUCUCUGUCCCUUCUUUGUUUUUUCAAUUGACCUUGCAGUUGAAAUAGCUCACAACUAAAGCCAUCCUGUCUGCAGCCUUCUCCACCCAGAGCAGAGCCUUUGGAUAUUUAUUUUACAGGCUCAACAGCACAGAGAUAUCUCCACUGUGGAGAAACUAUCACCGACCUACUUUCUAAAGGGGACGGUGAGGCAUUUACUUCGGAAUUUGUUCGGCAAGAGUCGGGAUCUCAGAUACCAACACUGCGUCCUCAUUCUAAGACUUCUUCUGAACUCGAACCUAUGCCGGGCGUCCCUGAACAGAGCACAGGUGGAGAGCCUUCUAGGGAGAAGGAAGAGAGGUCACCAAAGCUUGUGGUGAGCUCCCUCCCCCAUCUCCGAGGACCGCUGUUGCUCAGAUAAAGCUCAGAGAGGUAUUUGAAAAGGAGAAACCCCAGAGCCAGAGCCAGCCGACCUAGGGGUCGCGGCUGGCAAAGACUCUUGGCUCUGGGAUUGCAAAGGGACACUUUCUAGUAGUGGGUUCAUUUCAGAGAGCGGGUGGAAAAGCCACGGAAGGCCACGCCCUGGCUAUCCUGGUUAAGGGACUAGGAAAUAGAUCUCAUCCUGUGUUUGUAGGACUUGAGAAGGUUAGAGUAUCAUUAGAUUAAGUAAUUGUUGUGGUUUGGGUCUUGUUAAAAGAUAUAUAUAUAUAUAUAUAUAUAUAUAUAUAUAUAUAUAUAUAUAGAGAGAGAGAGAGAGAGAGAGAGAGAGUGAGUCUGGAGUUCAGGCUGGUCUGGAACCCUUGAUCCUCUAGCCUCUACCAUCCAAUGCUGGGGUGACAGGUGUGCACCCCUCUACAGGGCACAGUGUAAAACAAUUUACUAAGUUUGAAUUUUGUCAUAACAAGAAUAUCUAUGUGUCUUAAGACUAACUUUAAAAAAUAACUAAAAUUAAAUUAAAAAAUUUAAGAUUGGCUUAAAAAAAUCAGGACUCAGCAGAACCUCCUAGUAUUACUAAAGAGAAGUGUGUAGGAGUCUCUCUCAUAAACACAUCUCAGGAGAUGGAGAUGUAUGACUCCAGUAACAAUAAGCUAUUCCGUUUUUUUACAACAAGGCUUCCUACUGCCCCAGAGAGCUGGGGGCAUCUUAGCUCUCCCGGGCUAGGUGGAACCAUCUGUCCUUUGGCUUUUGGCAGCAGGAGAAUCAGAAGGUCAAGGGCACCAUUGGCCAUAGUUUGAAUUCGAGGCCACUCUGGGUUAUA
rnacentral:lncRNA from 1 species